CAAUGACUUACAUCACCCUACAGACAACUGGCAGCCAGGAAUGGGGCAGCUGCCACACUCUCCACAUAUCUCUCUAUUUAAAGUUCAAAGAGACACUGGAUAACAAUAAGGAAGAGGUGAGUGGGGCCUGACUAAGCCACUCCACAGCAGGAAUAAUGGCUGAAAAAGCAGAGGCUACGUUAUCACGCCUUUUGGUGCCUAUUCUUCUCCUGAUUGGCUGGAUUGUGGGCUGCAUCGUAAUGGUUUAUGUUGUCUUCUCUUAGAUUGGCACGAAGACAGCAGAUUGACAUCAUUUAGAAGAAUUAAGAAAAAUGCGAACAUGACUGUUAAAUAUGUCUGAUGUUAAAUAACAACAGUGUUUGACAUUAACUUACAAGCUUGGAUUGCGAAUUUCUUCAGUAACUUGUUUAAAAUUCUGGGUACAAAAAAGAACAGUAAGAAACAAGUGUAAGAAAAAGUGAGUGAAUUUCUUUAUUAUCUGAGUGUAGGAAAAGUGUUUCAACUGUGUAUAAAAUGCAUAAGCAAAACCAGAAAAUUUUGAUAAAUCUAAUUACAUUAGAAUUUUUAACAUCCUUCCCCAAAGAAAAAUUAAAAAAAAAAGAGGCUGCUACAAGCAAUUUACAGAGAACAAAAAGUAAAUGUAACUUUGGCUAUUAAACUCUUAUGCUUAACAACAGAAAUGUGACUAGAACUACAUGGAGAAAACAUUGUUCACUUAUGAAAUGGGAAGAAAUAAAGAUGUUUGAUAACAUAUGUAUUGUUAAGGCUGUGGGGAAAUAAACUUCUAUACACUGUC